rnacentral:rRNA from 1 species
UACGGGGGGAGCAAGCGUUGUUCGGAUUUACUGGGCGUAAAGGGCGCGUAGGCGGCCUGCUAAGUCGAACGUGAAAUCCCUGGGCUCAACCCAGGAACUGCGUCCGAUACUGGUUGGCUUGAAUCCGGGAGAGGGAUGCGGAAUUCCAGGUGUAGCGGUGAAAUGCGUAGAUAUCUGGAGGAACACCGGUGGCGAAGGCGGCAUCCUGGACCGGCAUUGACGCUGAGGCGCGAAAGCCAGGGGAGCGAACGGG